UACGAAGGGGGCUAGCGUUGCUCGGAAUCACUGGGCGUAAAGAGCUCGUAGGCGGUUCGUCGCGUCGGCUGUGAAAACCCGAGGCUCAACCUCGGGCCUGCAGUCGAUACGGGCGGACUGGAGUUCGGCAGGGGAGACUGGAAUUCCUGGUGUAGCGGUGAAAUGCGCAGAUAUCAGGAGGAACACCGGUGGCGAAGGCGGGUCUCUGGGCCGAUACUGACGCUGAGGAGCGAAAGCGUGGGGAGCGAACAGG
rnacentral:rRNA from 1 species